UAAUGGUGCAGGUAGAGAUACGCUGUAUACUCACGUCACCGAAUGAAAGUUUAAGCGAUAUGCAAUAUCGUCGGCCGUGAGGACGCCUUCGGGCGUCUUUUUUUUAC
rnacentral:sRNA from 12 species